UGGGGAAGACAACAGGGAUUGCCCUAGUAACGGCGAGUGAAGCGGCAACAGCUCAAAUUUGAAAUCUGGCUCUUUUAGAGUCCGAGUUGUAAUUUGCAGAGGGCGCUUUGGCUUUGGCAGCGGUCCAAGUUCCUUGGAACAGGACGUCACAGAGGGUGAGAAUCCCGUACGUGGUCGCUGGCUAUUGCCGUGUAAAGCCCCUUCGACGAGUCGAGUUGUUUGGGAAUGCAGCUCUAAAUGGGAGGUACAUUUCUUCUAAAGCUAAAUAUUGGCCAGAGACCGAUAGCGCACAAGUAGAGUGAUCGAAAGAUGAAAAGCACUUUGGAAAGAGAGUCAAACAGCACGUGAAAUUGUUGAAAGGGAAGCGCUUGCAGCCAGACUUGCUUACAGUUGCUCAUCCGGGUUUCUACCCGGUGCACUCUUCUGUAGGCAGGCCAGCAUCAGUUUGGGCGGUAGGAUAAAGGUCUCUGUCACGUACCUCCUUUCGGGGAGGCCUUAUAGGGGAGACGACAUACUACCAGCCUGGACUGAGGUCCGCGCAUCUGCUAGGAUGCUGGCGUAAUGGCUGUAAGCGGCCCGUCUUGAAACACGGACCAAGGAGUCUAACAUCUAUGCGAGUGUUUGGGUGUCAAGCCCGAGCGCGUAAUGAAAGUGAACGGAGGUGGGAACCCGCAAGGGUGCACCAUCGACCGAUCCUGAUGUCUUCGGAAGGAUUUGAGUAAGAGCAUGGCUGUUGGGACCCGAAAGAUGGUGAACUAUGCUUGAAUAGGGUGAAGCCAGAGGAAACUCUGGUGGAGGCUCGCAGCGGUUCUGACGUGCAAAUCGAUCGUCAAAUUUGGGCAUAGGGGCGAAAGACUAAUCGAACUAUCUAGUAGCUGGGUCUGCGUUCCCCUCCCCCCGCCCCCGGGGGGGAAGAAAA
rnacentral:rRNA from 1 species